AGAGUUUGAUCCUGGCUCAGAACGAACGCUGGCGGCAGGCUUAACACAUGCAAGUCGAACGCACCGCAAGGUGAGUGGCAGACGGGUGAGUAACGCGUGGGAACGUGCCCUUCAGUUCGGAAUAACCCAGGGAAACUUGGGCUAAUACCGGAUACGUGCGAGAGCAGAAAGAUUUAUCGCUGAAGGAUCGGCCCGCGUCUGAUUAGCUAGUUGGUAGGGUAAUGGCCUACCAAGGCGACGAUCAGUAGCUGGUCUGAGAGGAUGAUCAGCCACAUUGGGACUGAGACACGGCCCAAACUCCUACGGGAGGCAGCAGUGGGGAAUAUUGGACAAUGGGGCGCAAGCCUGAUCCAGCCAUGCCGCGUGAGUGAUGAAGGCCUUAGGGUUGUAAAGCUCUUUCGGCGGGGACGAUAAUGACGGUACCCGCAGAAGAAGCCCCGGCUAACUUCGUGCCAGCAGCCGCGGUAAUACGAAGGGGGCUAGCGUUGUUCGGAAUCACUGGGCGUAAAGGGCGCGUAGGCGGCUUUGUAAGUCGGGGGUGAAAGCCUGUGGCUCAACCACAGAAUUGCCUUCGAUACUGCAUGGCUUGAGACCGGAAGAGGUAAGUGGAACUGCGAGUGUAGAGGUGAAAUUCGUAGAUAUUCGCAAGAACACCAGUGGCGAAGGCGGCUUACUGGUCCGGUUCUGACGCUGAGGCGCGAAAGCGUGGGGAGCAAACAGGAUUAGAUACCCUAGUAGUCC
rnacentral:rRNA from 1 species